UUCCUUUUCGUUCGUUCAACUUCAAGUGGCCCUUUUAGCUUCUUUUUCCAAACUUAACGCCUCUCAGAUAAUCUGUGGGAUUCUGGCAAACCCUCUCCCAUGGCGUCUCUCUCCUCAUUCCCCGGAACGGCUAACUCCAUCUUCUCCCCUAACACCCACUUGAAAUUCCGUAUUCCACCUUCUACACUGUUUUUCCGACCCCUCUGCGCUGCUCCACAGGACCGCAGCACCACCACCUCCCGUAACAACAACGGUUACUCUCCACAAUCGAGACCUCGCCGGAAUAACAAGCAAGAUUACAGAAGAACCAAUACUCCUAUCCAAAAAGAAGCUGACCCAGUAACAUUGAGCCCCAUCUCAGAAGCUGAUGUUAGCUUGAUGACUCUAUGCAAUGAAGGUAAGGUUGACCAAGUAAUUGAGUACAUUUCCCAGGGCGUUGGCGCUGACUUUCAGGUGUUUGAGACAUUGCUGAGCUAUUGUACUAAACUUGCGUCUUCGGACGUUGGGGAGAAGGUGCAUGAGCUCUUAUUGCGUUCCCCCUGGAGUAACAAUAUUGAAUUGAAUGGUAAGUUAGUGGAAAUGUAUGUUAAGAACGGAAGCAUGAGGAAUGCGAGAAAAGUGUUUGAUAAAAUGCGUGAAAGGAAGUUGGAGCUAUGGCACUUGAUGAUUAGUGGAUAUACAGAAACUGGAGAUGGGGAGAGUGGCUUGCUUUUGUUUGAGCAGAUGAGAAAACUUAGGCUGUUGGAGCCCAAUGGGGACACUUUUUCUGUGGUUUUUUCGGCUUGUGCUAAUAAUGGGGCCGUGAAAGAAGGUUUUAUGUAUUUUGAAUUAAUGAAGAAUGAUUAUGGUAUUGUUCCCGGAGUAGAGCAUUAUUUAGGGAUCAUUGAUGUUUUGGGAAAAUCUGGGCAUUUGAAUGAAGCGCUAGAGUUUCUUGAAAACAUGCCUAUUGAACCUACAAGAGAAGUAUGGGAGGCCGUAAUAAAUUUUGCACGAAUUAAUGGGGAUAUUGAACUUGAAGAUCGAACGGAGGAGCUGCUCAUUAGGUUAGACUUUUCCCAAAAUAUGGAUGAUAAGCCCCCUGCACCAUUUCCGAAAAGACAUUCUGAGUUUAAUAUGCUUGAGGGUAAAGAUAGAGCUAAUGAGUUCAAGAGCACAAUUCCACAUAGGGAAGAUGCAUAUGAAAAACUGAAAGGCUUAAGUGGGCAGAUGAGGGAUGCUGGUUAUGUACCAGACACGAGGUAUGUGCUUCAUGAUAUUGACGAAGGGGCUAAGGAGCAAGCAUUGAUGUAUCAUAGUGAGCGGUUGGCUAUUGCAUAUGGUUUAAUUAGUACUCCAGCUAGAACAACUCUUAGGAUUAUCAAGAACCUCCGAAUAUGUGGUGACUGUCACAACGCCAUUAAGAUCAUGUCAAGGAUUGUUGGGCGAGAGUUGAUUGUCAGAGAUAACAAGCGGUUUCAUCAUUUCAGAGAUGAUGCAACAAAAGAUGAAUAUUAAAGAGUGGCUUUUAUUACUAAUAUUUUAUGGGCUCAAGAUUUGCUAUAAGAAAGAUUUGACGAUUAUCAGAGUUGAAAUUCGCACUGACCCAGUCCAGCACAUAGAGGUAUGAUGGUUGACUAUUUCUGCAGCGGGUAACAAUUACUUCUACAGCAGCUUCAUCUCAUGAGGUACUCUCAGGUAUGAUUUCAUCAC